UACGGAGGAUGCAAGCGUUAUCCGGAUUCAUUGGGUUUAAAGGGUGCGUAGGCGGGCUAUUAAGUCAGUGGUGAAAUCCUGCAGCUUAACUGCAGAACUGCCGUUGAUACUGAUAGUCUUGAGUUUGGUUAAGGUAGGCGGAAUGUGUAAUGUAGCGGUGAAAUGCUUAGAUAUUACACAGAACACCAAUUGCGUAGGCAGCUUACUGAGCUGACACUGACGCUGAGGCACGAAAGCGUGGGGAUCAAACA
rnacentral:rRNA from 1 species